UACGUAGGGGGCAAGCGUUGUCCGGAAUCAUUGGGCGUAAAGCGCGCGUAGGCGGCCCGGUAAGUCCGCUCUGAAAGCCCAGGGCUCAACCCUGGAAAGCGGGUGGAUACUGCCGGGCUAGAAUCCGGAAGAGGCGAGUGGAAUUCCUGGUGUAGCGGUGGAAUGCGCAGAUAUCAGGAGGAACACCAAUAGCGAAGGCAGCUCGCUGGGACGUAACUGACGCUGAGACGCGAAAGCGUGGGGAGCAAACAGG
rnacentral:rRNA from 1 species